UCGUAUGUCUUCGGGUUUUCGUAGCUUCUGUGGUCAACGUGUAAAUCAUCAUUCACAUAACAUCUCUCGCCCGCAAAUAGAACGUUCAUGUCAGUUGUACAUUCACCGUGUGGGAUGCCUAACAGAAGUUAGUCCCCCUCCCCCGCUCCAUCCCGAUUAUUUUUCUCAUUUUAUCCUCAGCAAGUUGAUAACUUGUUUGAGCGCUUCAUCGAUGUUUCUCUCCCUCAGUUGUAAAUCCAUCUGUGUGUCAUUCUCUUUUGUGGCCAGUAUAGAAAGUCUCGAUUUUAUUAUCUCUAAUUCUGAACUGCCACCAGUAGUGAAUCCAAGAGUUGAAAUAUAGAAGUGACUUUAGUGCUCCUGAAACUCGUGAAGAACGGUUAACAAACCAUUCCCAGGAAAUUCAAAUGUUGGGGCCGAUUGGUGGUAUAAAUUAUCACUGGCAUUCUCCAAUGGUUCGGGUUGAGUUUACAACACAAGGAUAAAAAGCCCCUUUCAGCGUAGAUUCCAGGGAGAAAUCGCAAGAUCAGUGGUUGAUCUCAUAAUUUACAACAGUUACAUCCACAUGCCUUCGGUUUUUCUCCACUACUCGUCUACCCACCGAUAUCACCUAAUACCGAUUUCCCAUAAAGGAAUCGUCAUCGUAAAAGGUUUUGGCGACAUUCGUUGCCCGUGAAUAGAGAUAUGUUGACUGUUCAUGGGGUUGGGGAGAGAAUUUGACAGAAAAAAACUUGAGCCGCAUCGUUUUACCACAGUAUACUGUGCACCACCCGAUGGACAGAUGAAUGCCAAUGUUUGGAAUUUUGCGUUGAAGUAAAAUAGAGACGGGUGUAAUAAUAUAUCGAUUAUGACAGUGAUGGCGGAGCAAAGAGAAACAAGGGAGGAGGAAGAAUGGGACGAGGGGGCAUAUCGUAGUUGAGGACCGGUGCUGUCCAGUUAGAGAGUGUUGAACAUACUGGCGGCAUAUGGUACCCGGGACCCACUCAUCCUCCUGCCUCUCGUUUGACUCCUCUUCAUCCCUCACUAACCCCUUCCGUUCAGUUACCGCUCGUCCGAUACUGAUAACCCCUGAUAAUGUCCACAGCCAGCAACACAUCCAACCCCCUCCCUCCCACUGUCCCUCACUCUUUACCAACGAGUAUUUUCCACCAAAAGUACACACACACCGAUUCAAAUUAAAUAAUCCAUCUCAAUUCAGAUAUGUUUCAUUCUCACCUAAACACUCCAACGAAAAAAAUAUUAUUGUUUUCAACCCCCACUCCAAUCCUUUGAAUAACAACCAAAUACUGAUAUUUUUUUUCAGGCGCUUGGUAUUUAUUUGAUAUUGGAAAUGUGAAAUCCACGUCAAUAUUAAUUUAUCUUGUGCAAAUAUAUAUGAGGAUAUUUUGUUGCAUAUUGGGUUGUUAAACUGAUUCAUUGCGUAAUAUUAAUGUUUGAGUUUAAUGAUAAAUGUAGAAAUUAUCAGAGAUUUGGCAAAAAAAGUAAUUACUCGUUUUUUCAAGCUAUUAAUUUUUGGUUUAAAUUUUCCUGCAAAUGUUGCGCUAUUGCAGCUACCCCGUUUAAUUGUCAAUAACUAAUAAAGAACUCAG